rnacentral:rRNA from 1 species
UACGGGGGGGGCAAGCGUUGUUCGGAAUUACUGGGCGUAAAGGGCUCGUAGGCGGCCAACUAAGUCGGAUGUGAAAUCCCCAGGCUCAACCUGGGAACUGCAUCCGAUACUGGAUGGCUUGAAUUCGGGAGAGGGAUGCAGAAUUCCAGGUGUAGCGGUGAAAUGCGCAGAUAUCAGGAGGAACACCAAUGGCGAAGGCAGCUCGCUGGGACGGUACUGACGCUGAGACGCGAAAGCGUGGGGAGCAAACAGG